rnacentral:rRNA from 1 species
CCUACGGGCGGCAGCAGUGGGGAAUAUUGGGCAAUGGGCGCAAGCCUGACCCAGCAACGCCGCGUGAAGGAAGAAGGCUUUCGGGUUGUAAACUUCCUUUCUGAGGGACGAAGAAAGUGACGGUACCCCAGGAAUAAGCCACGGAUAACGACGUGCCAGCAGCCGCGGUAAUACGUAGGCGGCAAGCGUUAUCCGGAUUCAUUGGGUGUAAAGGGCGGGUAGGCGGGAAAGCAAGUCAGAUGUGAAAAGUCAGGGCUCAAACCUGGGCCUGCAUUUGAAACUGGUCUUCUUGAGUGCUGGAGAGGCAUUCGGAAUUCCGGGUGUAGCGGUGAAAUACGUAGAUAUACGGAGGAACACCGGUGGCGAAGGCGGAUUGCUGGA